rnacentral:rRNA from 1 species
AGUGAACGCUGGCGGUAGGCCUAACACAUGCAAGUCGAAUGGCAGCACAGUAAGAGCUUGCUCUUACGGGUGGCGAGUGGCGGACGGGUGAGGAAUACAUCGGAAUCUACUUUUUCGUGGGGGAUAACGUAGGGAAACUUACGCUAAUACCGCAUACGACCUACGGGUGAAAGUAGGGGAUCUUCGGACCUUGCGCGAUUGAAUGAGCCGAUGUCGGAUUAGCUAGUUGGCGGGGUAAAGGCCCACCAAGGCGACGAUCCGUAGCUGGUCUGAGAGGAUGAUCAGCCACACUGGAACUGAGACACGGUCCAGACUCCUACGGGAGGCAGCAGUGGGGAAUAUUGGACAAUGGGCGCAGGCCUGAUCCAGCCAUACCGCGUGGGUGAAGAAGGCCUUCGGGUUGUAAAGCCCUUUUGUUGGGAAAGAAAAGCAGCAGGUUAAUACCCCGCUGUUCUGACGGUACCCAAAGAAUAAGCACCGGCUAACUUCGUG